rnacentral:lncRNA from 1 species
CAGGUAUAUUUCCACACUGCUCGUAAAUUUUCUGCGCGGUCCCCAGAGCGCCCCCCAUGAGGCACCUGCAUCAGCUCCGGGCAGAGCAGAUGUGGAUGCCACCGCCUAGAAGCCGGGGCUACCCUGCGGACUGGGACUGUCCCAUAAGGAUACUGAGCUAAGGAUAAUGCAGAAUAACCGUUGAAAGUACCCAAGACCAGAGCUUGGAAGCAGAGCGGAAUAUGGAUCAGAGGGAGACAGGAGUCAGGGCCCUGCAGUUGGAGGCAGUUCAUUGGUAGAGCUUCAGUUUCUGCCUCAAUUAAAACCAAUUGAGAUAAUCACACAGCAACAUGGUCGGAGCUGAAGAACAGCAGCUAAAAAACAGGAGCCCCAGACAGCCCCUUUUCAUGGUCACUUGGUCAGUUGACU